rnacentral:rRNA from 1 species
GGUAUCCUGUCUGAAUAUGGGGGGACCAUCCUCCAAGGCUAAAUACUCCUGACUGACCGAUAGUGAACCAGUACCGUGAGGGAAAGGCGAAAAGAACCCCGGCGAGGGGAGUGAAAAAGAACCUGAAACCGUGUACGUACAAGCAGUGGGAGCACAGGUUUACCUGUGUGACUGCGUACCUUUUGUAUAAUGGGUCAGCGACUUAUAUUCUGUAGCAAGGUUAACCGAAUAGGGGAGCCGGAGGGAAACCGAGUCUUAAUUGGGCGUUAAGUUGCAGGGUAUAGACCCGAAACCCGGUGAUCUAGCCAUGGGCAGGUUGAAGGUUGGGUAACACUAACUGGAGGACCGAACCGACUAAUGUUGAAAAAUUAGCGGAUGACCUGUGGCUGGGGGUGAAAGGCCAAUCAAACCGGGAGAUAGCUGGUUCUCCCCGAAAGCUAUUUAGGUAGCGCCUCGUGAAUUCAUCUCCGGGGGUAGAGCACUGUUUCGGCUAGGGGGCCAUCCCGGCUUACCAACCCGAUGCAAACUGCGAAUACCGGAGAAUGUUAUCACGGGAGACACACGGCGGGUGCUAACGUCCGUCGUGAAGAGGGAAACAACCCAGACCGCCAGCUAAGGUCCCAAAGUCAUGGUUAAGUGGGAAACGAUGUGGGAAGGCCCAGACAGCCAGGAUGUUGGCUUAGAAGCAGCCAUCAUUUAAAGAAAGCGUAAUAGCUCACUGGUCGAGUCGGCCUGCGCGGAAGAUGUAACGGGGCUAAACCAUGCACCGAAGCUGCGGCAGCGACACUGUGUGUUGUUGGGUAGGGGAGCGUUCUGUAAGCCUGCGAAGGUGGCCUGUGAGGGUUGCUGGAGGUAUCAGAAGUGCGAAUGCUGACAUAAGUAACGAUAAAGCGGGUGAAAAGCCCGCUCGCCGGAAGACCAAGGGUUCCUGUCCAACGUUAAUCGGGGCAGGGUGAGUCGACCCCUAAGGCGAGGCCGAAAGGCGUAGUCGAUGGGAAACGGGUUAAUAUUCCCGUACUUGGUGUUACUGCGAAGGGGGGACGGAGAAGGCUAUGUUGGCCGGGCGACGGUUGUCCCGGUUUAAGCGUGUAGGUGUGUGUUCCAGGUAAAUCCGGUUCACUUUAACACUGAGGCGUGACGACGAGGCACUACGGUGCUGAAGCAACAAAUGCCCUGCUUCCAGGAAAAGCCUCUAAGCAUCAGGUAACAUCAAAUCGUACCCCAAACCGACACAGGUGGUCAGGUAGAGAAUACCAAGGCGCUUGAGAGAACUCGGGUGAAGGAACUAGGCAAAAUGGUGCCGUAACUUCGGGAGAAGGCACGCUGACAUGUAGGUGAAGUGAUU